CUUCACCGAGCCCAGCCACAGCGGCCGGUCCGCGGGCCGCCCCUGGCCGUACGUCCGCAGCAGGGCCUCCGCCUC
rnacentral:antisense_RNA from 1 species